GAUGAACGCUGGCGGCGUGCUUAACACAUGCAAGUCGAACGGAAAGGCCAGUGCUUGCACUGGUACUCGAGUGGCGAACGGGUGAGUAACACGUGGGUGAUCUGCCCUGCACUUCGGGAUAAGCCUGGGAAACUGGGUCUAAUACCGGAUAGGACAAUGGUUUGGAUGCCGUUGUGGAAAGUUUUUUCGGUGUGGGAUGAGCUCGCGGCCUAUCAGCUUGUUGGUGGGGUAAUGGCCUACCAAGGCGUCGACGGGUAGCCGGCCUGAGGGGGUGUACGGCCACAUUGGGAAUGAGAUACGGCCCAGACUCCUACGGGAGGGAGCAGUGGGGAAUAUUGCACAAUGGGGGCAAGCCUGAUGCAGCGACGCCGCGUGGGGGAUGGCGGCCUUCGGGUUGUAAACUCCUUUCGCUAGGGACGAAGCGUAUUUGUGACGGUACCUGGAGAAGAAGCACCGGCUAACUACGUG
rnacentral:rRNA from 1 species